UGGCCUCACAGAAGAGGCCCUCAGCAACAUCACAGGCAAGCUGAGGUGCCAGUUUGGGGAAAACCGACUCAACGACACUGUAGGGCGGAUACAAGAUUCACUUCUGCUGAGCACUGAUUUCACUGCAGCCAAUUAUCUACGUCUCGGCCUUGGGUUCACUGUCCUGAUAGCAGCUCUGGCUUUCGUGGCUGAUGCAUUUUGGAUGGAGAGGCAUCAGGGGAACCAAGCCAUGCAAAACUUCUGAAUCAGCAAGAUCCUGUGGAGUCAAGUGAAAGCCUGGCUUGAAACCGGCAGUACUUCCAGUGAGAAGAGGGGUGACAGUCAAGUCAACUGAAAGCUUCCUCUGCAGAUUGAUACUGGCAGGGUGGGAAGCACGGAGGCUGGGAACAGACAAGAACACUGUGGGAAUGCAAAGCGAGGGCCAGCAACCAUUACAGCAGAAAGCUAGGAGAAUGAAACCCGGGACACACACACACACACACACACACAGAGCUGGAUUGUUAUCUGCAAUAAAAGCUGCUUAGUUGUAUCUUA